GAACUGCGGGACUUGAGUGCGGCCGAGGCGGGCGGAAUUCGUGGUGUAGCGGUGAAAUGCUUAGAUAUCACGAAGAACUCCGAUUGCGAAGGCAGCCCGCCAGCCCGCUACUGACGUUGAGGCUCGAAGGUGCGGGUAUCGAACAGGAUUAGAUACCCUGGUAGUCCGCACGGUAAACGAUGGACACCCGCCGUGGGCGACAUACAGUCCGCGGCCAAGCGAAAGCGUUAAGUGUCCCGCCUGGGGAGUACGCCGGCAACGGUGAAACUCAAAGGAAUUGACGGGGGCCCGCACAAGCGGAGGAACAUGUGGUUUAAUUCGAUGAUACGCGAGGAACCUUACCCGGGCUCGAACCUCCCCCGAAUCCGGCGGAGACGCCGGAGCCAGCAAUGGCGGGGGCGGAGGUGCUGCAUGGUUGUCGUCAGCUCGUGCCGUGAGGUGUCGGCUUAAGUGCCAUAACGAGCGCAACCCCUCCCUCCAGUUGCCAUCGGGUAAUGCCGGGGACUCUGGAGGCACUGCCAUCGCAAGAUGCGAGGAAGGCGGGGAUGACGUCAAAUCAGCACGGCCCUUACGUCCGGGGCUACACACGUGUUACAAUGGGGGGUACAGAGGGCCGCUGCACGGCGACGUGCGGCCAAUCCCUAAAUCCCCUCCCAGUUCGGACCGGAGUCUGGAACCCGACUCCGCGAAGCUGGAUUCGCUAGUAAUCGCGCAUCAGCCAUGGCGCGGUGAAUACGUUCCCGGGCCUUGUACACACCGCCCGUCAAGCCAUG
rnacentral:rRNA from 1 species